rnacentral:rRNA from 1 species
GAUGAACGCUGGCGGCGUGCUUAACACAUGCAAGUCAAACGAGAACGGGAUAUAGCUUGCUAUAUUUGUCAGCUAAGUGGCGCACGGGUGAGUAAUGUAUAGAUAACCUGCCCUCUAGAAAGGAAUAACAGUUGGAAACGACUGCUAAUGCCCUAUAUGCCUUUAAUACAUAAGUAUGCAAGGGAAACGCUUUAGUGCUAGAGGAUGGGUCUGUAUGGUAUCAGCUUGUUGGUGAGGUAAUGGCUCACCAAGGCUAUGACGCCUAACUGGUUUGAGAGGAUGAUCAGUCACACUGGAGCUGAGACACGGUCCAGACUCCUACGGGAGGCAGCAGUGGGGAAUAUUGCAAAAUGGACGAAAGUUUGAUGCAGCAACGCCGCGUGGAGGAUGACACAUUUCGGUGCGUAAACUCCUUUUAUAUAGGAAGAUAAUGACGGUACUAUAUGAAUAAGCACCGGCUAACUCCGUGCCAGCCGCCGCAGUAA